UACGUAGGGUGCGAGCGUUGUCCGGAAUUAUUGGGCGUAAAGGGCUCGUAGGCGGUCUGUUGCGUCAGGAGUGAAAACUCGGGGCUUAACCCCGAGCCUGCUUCUGAUACGGGCAGACUAGAGGUAUGCAGGGGAGAACGGAAUUCCUGGUGUAGCGGUGAAAUGCGCAGAUAUCAGGAGGAACACCGGUGGCGAAGGCGGUCUCUGGGCAGUACCUGACGCUGAGGAGCG
rnacentral:rRNA from 1 species